CAAUCAUUAAAAUCCAUUAUGGUUCCUUAGAUCGUUUCUUCCUACUUGGAUAACUGUGGCAAUUCUAGAGCUAAUACAUGCAGUGAGCCUGAAGCCCUUUGGGCGACGGGUGCUUUUAUUAGACCAAGAUCGAUCGGGUUUCGGCCCGUAUUGUGUGGUGACUCUGGAUAACUUUGUGCUGAUCGCAUGGCCACGAGCCGGCGACGUUUCUUUCAAGUGUCUGCCUUAUCAACUUUCGAUGGUAGGUUACUUGCUUACCAUGGUUGUUACGGGUAACGGAGAAUCAGGGUUCGAUUCCGGAGAGGGAGCCUGAGAAACGGCUACCACAUCCAAGGAAGGCAGCAGGCGCGCAAAUUACCCACUCCCGGCACGGGGAGGUAGUGACGAAAAAUAACAAUACGGGACUCUUUUGAGGCCCCGUAAUUGAAAUGAGUACACUCUAAAUCCUUUAACGAGGAUCAAUUGGAGGGCAAGUCUGGUGCCAGCAGCCGCGGUAAUUCCAGCUCCAAUAGCGUAUACUAAAGCUGCUGCGGUUAAAAAGCUCGUAGUUGGAUCUCAGUUCCAGACGAGUAGUGCAUCUACCCGAUGCGACGGCUCGGACUGAACAUCAUGCCGGUCCUUUCUUGGUGCACUUCAUUGUGUGCCUCGAGAAGGCCGGUGCUUUUACUUUGAAAAAAUUAGAGUGCUCAACGCAGGCGAGUCGCCUGAAUAAACUUGCAUGGAAUAAUAGAACAAGACCUCGUUUCUGUUCUGUUGGUUUUUGGAAUACGAGGUAAUGAUUAAGAGGGACAGACGGGGGCAUC
rnacentral:rRNA from 1 species